UCCUCGCUCAAACAAUCGCAAUCAAAGCUUCCACACCGAGAGGGGCCUUCGCGCCUCUUUCUCCUCCAUCACAUACAGCUUUGGGAGAAAGUCCCCGGACACGCCAUGGGUUUUUCUCGUGGCAUGCGGAAACGCGCCGCCAUAGAUGCAAGCACACCUGCGGCUUACUCGCCUGCCCUAUCCUCUCACAACCGGAGAUCGUCCCCAUUGCCGUCUGCACUCCGCAUGUGCGCUGUUGGCUCUCUUGCUGGUCUCUCGCUCGGUCGCCUCGCCUGCAAAGGGGAUGAGGAUAUGAGUCCGUGGCCGAGCACCGGGGGCUGGCUCUGGGGGUCUUCUGGCCUGCGUGAGGAGGAGGCGGUGGGUUCGUCUUGGUAAUCUCGCGGUCUUUGGGCUGUGGGGUUCAGGUUGGGCAUCUGGCAUCUUCUUCGUCGAGGUCGAAAGAUAUGCGAUUGCCCUCUCUUCUCUGAGGGGGUAACUCGAUGGGGCUUAUUCUUGAUGCGAGG
rnacentral:RNase_MRP_RNA from 2 species